CAGAAUGGCUGAAACACCUGCCCCAGGCCUGUGUGCUUGAUGGUCCCAGAGCUGGGGCUGGGAGAACAGAGGUGGGCCUGAACAUCUGGAGCUGGACAGGACAGUUGAAGAAAAUGAGUCAGAGAAUGCAAGGAACUUGUCCAAGGUUACCAAGAAAUGGAGUCUUACUGUGUUGCCCAGUCUGGUCUCAACUCCCGGCCUCAAGUGAUCCUCCUGCCUCAGCCUCCCAAGGAGAGGGCUUUUAUUUUUUUGAGGCAGAGUUUCACUCUGUUGCCCAGGCUGGAGUGCAGUGGCAUGAUCUUGGCUCACUACAGCCUUCGCCUCCCGGGCUCAAGCAAUCCUCAACUUCACCCUCCCAAGUAGCUGGGACCACAAGUGUGCACCACCACGCCGGCUGAUUUUUGUAUUUUUCGUAGAUAUGGGGCUUCACCACAUUGCCCAGGCUAGUCUCCAUCUGCCUCAACCUCUGAAAGUGCUGGGAUUACAGGCGUGAGCAACUGUGCCCAGCCAGGAGAGGGGUUAUUGAGUUCCACAUU